rnacentral:rRNA from 1 species
GACGAACGCUGGCGGCGUGUUUAACACAUGCCAGUCGAACGGAAAGGCCUCUUUCGGGGGGUACUCGAGUGGCGAACGGGUGAGUAACACGUGAGUAACCUGCCCUUGACUUUGGGAUAACUUCAGGAAACUGGGGCUAAUACCGGAUAGGAGCUCCUGCUGCAUGGUGGGGGUUGGAAAGUUUCGGCGGUUGGGGAUGGACUCGCGGCUUAUCAGCUUGUUGGUGGGGUAGUGGCUUACCAAGGCUUUGACGGGUAGCCGGCCUGAGAGGGUGACCGGCCACAUUGGGACUGAGAUACGGCCCAGACUCCUACGGGAGGCAGCAGUGGGGAAUAUUGCACAAUGGGUGGAAGCCUGAUGCAGCAACGCCGUGUGCGGGAUGACGGCCUUCGGGUUGUAAACCGCUUUCGCUCAUGACGAAGCUUUGUGUGACGGUAGUGGGUAAAGAAGCACCGGCUAACUACGUG